rnacentral:rRNA from 1 species
GACGGAGGAUGCAAUCGUUAAUCGGAAUUACUGGGCGUAAAGCGUGCGCAGGCGGCUUUGUAAGACAGAUGUGAAAUCCCCGGGCUUAACCUGGGAACUGCGUUUGUGACUGCAAGGCUGGAGUGCGGCAGAGGGGGGUGGAAUUCCACGUGUAGCAGUGAAAUGCGUAGAGAUGUGGAGGAACACCGAUGGCGAAGGCAGCCCCCUGGGUUGACACUGACGCUCAUGCACGAAAGCGUGGGGAGCAAACAGG